GUGCUCGCUUCGGCAGCACAUACACUAAGACCAGAAUGAAACAGAGAUUAGCGUGGCCCCUGCACAAGGAUGAAGCAUUUCUUUUCCAUCAGUACUUCCUGAGU